rnacentral:rRNA from 1 species
AAUUUAAAGUCUAAUCUGGAAUCUGAUAAAUUUAUACCGGCCGGCUGGUAUAUUGACUGAACAAAGGUAGCAUAAUCGCCGGUCUUUUAAUUGAAAACUUGUAUGAAGGAUUUGAUGAAAUAUAAACUGUCUCUAAUUUAUUAGUAUAAAAUUUAAUUUUUUAGUAAAAAAGCUAAAAUAAUAUUAAAAGACGAGAAGACCCUAUAGAGUUUUAUAAUUAAAUUAAUUAAUAUUAUUUAUAUAUAAUUAAAAAAAAAUUAUUUUAAUUAUUUUAUUGGGGUGAUAAAAAAAUUAAAAAAACUUUUUUUAAAAAUAAACAUAGAUAAGUGAAAAAAUGAUCCAUUAAUAGUGAUUAUAAGAAAAAAUUACCUUAGGGAUAACAGCGUAAUAUUUUUUUUUAGUACAAAUAAAAAAAAAAGUUUGCGACCUCGAUGUUGGAUUAAAAUAAAAUUUAAAUGCAAAAGUUUAAAAUUUUGAUCUGUUCGAUCAUUAAAAUCUUACAUG